rnacentral:rRNA from 1 species
AUUGAACGCUGGCGGCAGGCCUAACACAUGCAAGUCGAGCGGAUGAAGAGAGCUUGCUCUCCGAUUUAGCGGCGGACGGGUGAGUAAUGCCUAGGAAUCUGCCUGGUAGUGGGGGAUAACGUCCGGAAACGGGCGCUAAUACCGCAUACGUCCUACGGGAGAAAGCAGGGGACCUCCGGGCCUUGCGCUAUCAGAUGAGCCUAGGUCGGAUUAGCUAGUUGGUGAGGUAAUGGCUCACCAAGGCUACGAUCCGUAACUGGUCUGAGAGGAUGAUCAGUCACACUGGAACUGAGACACGGUCCAGACUCCUACGGGAGGCAGCAGUGGGGAAUAUUGGACAUGGGCGAAAGCCUGAUCCAGCCAUGCCGCGUGUGUGAAGAAGGUCUUCGGAUUGUAAAGCACUUUAAGUUGGGAGGAAGGGCAGUAAGUUAAUACCUUGCUGUUUUGACGUUACCGACAGAAUAAGCACCGGCUAACUUCGUGCCAGCCGCCGCGGUAACAC